GACGAACGCUGGCGGCGUGCCUAAUACAUGCAAGUAGAACGCUGAAGGAGGAGCUUGCUCUUCUGGAUGAGUUGCGAACGGGUGAGUAACGCGUAGGUAACCUGCCUGGUAGCGGGGGAUAACUAUUGGAAACGAUAGCUAAUACCGCAUAAGAGUAGAUGUUGCAUGACAUUUACUUAAAAGGUGCAAUUGCAUCACUACCAGAUGGACCUGCGUUGUAUUAGCUAGUUGGUGGGGUAACGGCUUACCAAGGCGACGAUACAUAGCCGACCUGAGAGGGUGAUCGGCCACACUGGGACUGAGACACGGCCCAGACUCCUACGGGAGGCAGCAGUAGGGAAUCUUCGGCAAUGGACGGAAGUCUGACCGAGCAACGCCGCGUGAGUGAAGAAGGUUUUCGGAUCGUAAAGCUCUGUUGUAAGAGAAGAACGAGUGUGAGAGUGGAAAGUUCACACUGUGACGGUAUCUUAACAGAAAGGGACGGCUAACUACGUG
rnacentral:rRNA from 1 species